GUUGAAACACCGGUUCCCCUACGAUAACCGAAGUUAAGUAACGUUGAGCAUGGACAAUACGUUGAUGGGUGACCGUUUGGGCAUACCAGGUGGCUGUCAG